AUGGGCACCAGGCUCAUCUGCUGGGUGGCCCUUUGUCUCCUAGAAUCAGGUCCUGUGGAUCCUGGCAUUAUUCAAAGCCCUAAAUAUCUGAUCAAAGCAAGAAGUCAAACAACAAUCCUGAAUUGCUCCUAUGAAUCCGGGCACAACACUGUGUACUGGUACCAACAGACUGUGGGCCAGGGCCCCGAAUUCCUCAUUCAGUAUUACAAUGGGCAAGAGAAUGUGAAAGGAAGCAUCCCUGAUCACUUCUCAGUUCAACAGUUCAGUGACUACCAUUCAGAACUGAACAUGAGCUCCAUAGAAAUAAGUGACUCUGCCCUGUACCUCUGUGCAAGCAGCCUCACAGCCCUGCCUGCACAGCUACAUCCUGUUCAAAAACUCUCCUGCCCAGGUCAGGAAGUGACAGUGAAGGGAAAGCUAACCAUCAAAAGGGCCCAUUGA